rnacentral:rRNA from 1 species
GGGUCAGUAGGUUGGUCGUGCCACCGGUACGUACUGGUCUCACUGAUUCCUCCUUCCUGAAGAACCGUAAUGCCAUUAAUUUGGUGUUGCGGGGAAACAGGACUGUUACCUUGAAAAAAUUAGAGUGUUUAAAGCAAGCUAACGCUUGAAUACAUUAGCAUGGAAUAAUGAAAUAGGACGAUCGAUCCUAUUUUGUUGGUUCCUAGGAUUGACGUA